GCCAGGUGUGGUGGUGCACACCUGUAGUCCCAGCUGCUUGGGAGGCUGAGGCGGGAGAAUUGCUUGAACCUGGGAGGUGGAGGUUGCAGUGAGCCGAGAUCAUGCCACUGCACCCCAGCCUGGGUGACAGAGUGAGAUCUUGUCUCAA
rnacentral:SRP_RNA from 1 species